rnacentral:rRNA from 1 species
AUUGAACGCUGGCGGCAUGCCUUACACAUGCAAGUCGAACGGUAACAGGUUAAGCUGACGAGUGGCGAACGGGUGAGUAAUAUAUCGGAACGUGCCCAGUCGUGGGGGAUAACGUAGCGAAAGCUACGCUAAUACCGCAUACGAUCUACGAAUGAAAGCGGGGGAUCGCAAGACCUCGCGCGAUUGGAGCGGCCGAUAUCAGAUUAGGUUGUUGGUGAGGGAAAAGCUCACCAAGCCUGCGAUCUGUAGCUGGUCUGAGAGGACGACCAGCCACACUGGAACUGAGACACGGUCCAGACCCCUACGGGAGGCAGCAGUGGGGAAUUUUGGACAAUGGACGCAAGUCUGAUCCAGCAAUGCCGCGUGCAGGACGAAGGCCUUCGGGUUGUAAACUGCUUUUGUACGGAACGAAAACUUAGCCACUAACAUUGGUUGAGGUUGACGGUACCUUGAUAAGAAGCACCGGCUAACUACGUGCCAGCCGCCGCGGUAA